rnacentral:rRNA from 1 species
CCUACGGGGGGCAGCAGUGGGGAAUAUUGGACAAUGGGGGCAACCCUGAUCCAGCCAUGCCGCGUGUGUGAAGAAGGCCCUCGGGUUGUAAAGCACUUUCAGUGAGGAAGAACGCCUGGUGGUUAAUACCCAUCAGGAAAGACAUCACUCACAGAAGAAGCACCGGCUAACUCCGUGCCAGCAGCCGCGGUAAUACGGAGGGUGCGAGCGUUAAUCGGAAUUACUGGGCGUAAAGCGCGCGUAGGUGGCUUGAUAAGCCGGUUGUGAAAGCCCCGGGCUCAACCUGGGAACGGCAUCCGGAACUGUCAAGCUAGAGUGCAGGAGAGGAAGGUAGAAUUCCCGGUGUAGCGGUGAAAUGCGUAGAGAUCGGGAGGAAUACCAGUGGCGAAGGCGGCCUUCUGGACUGACACUGACACUGAGGUGCGAAAGCGUGGGUAGCAAACAGGAUUAGAUACCCUUGUAUC